CAACUACUCCCUCUGUUCCAAAUUUCUUGUCUUAGAUUUGUCUAGAUACCGAUGUAUUGACUUGAUACAUCCGUAUCUAGACAAAUCUAAGACAGGAAUUUUGGGACGAAGGGAGUACUUU
rfam:Triticum aestivum genome assembly, contig: Triticum_aestivum_CS42_TGACv1_scaffold_404710_5BL